rnacentral:misc_RNA from 1 species
AAGUCGUAACAAGGUCUCCGUAGGUGAACCUGCGGAGGGAUCAUUACAGAGUUCAUGCCCUUGCGGGUAGAUCUCCCACCCUGUGUUAUUAUUACUUUGUUGCUUUGCGGCGGUCGGCUGGCUCCUGCUCGUACCGGCUUCGGCUGGUAAGCGCCCGCCAGAGGACCCAAAACCCUGAAUAUUAGUGUCGUCUGAGUACUAUAUAAUAGUUAAAA